GCCCGGGUGGUCUAGUGGUAUGAUUCUCGCUUAGGGUAAUAACCCCAAGUACAAAUCCAUAUGUAAAAAUACAUAUGGAGAAUAUCUGCGAGAGGUCCCGCGUUCGAUCCGCGGCUCGGGCC